GUUCCCAAAUCAAGUUUGAUACAUGUAUCAUAUUAAUUGGUGAUGUCAAAAUUUUGUUUUUCAUAAGACUGCUUCCAAAAACCUCUGUUUGAAAAGAAGAGAAAUCACUGAUAUCUUGACAUUAAUAGAGAUGGACUAGCACAAGGUAACUCUUGGAAUGACUGGUUCCUUAAAUGGAGGAUAACAGUCAGAACUAGCUCCAGUCAAUACACAGACAGGAAACAGCUCUUUUUGGCCAUUUGUAGAGGAAACAAAUCCCAUGUAAUAACGUAAAUAGUUUUUUUCCAUCUUCAAAUGAUAAAAAAGCAAUUAUUUAAACCCCCAGGGGUGGUUUAAGCCAUUUCUAAAGAGAGGGGGCUCCCACCCAGGAUAAAAGGCAGGGUUCAAACUAGUUUAUGUUCUGAUUCAAUUGCAUUGAUCAUCAAAAAAAUUGUAAGGGUUCCCCAGAACCCAGUGUCUCAACGACUUUUGCUGUUAAUCCCAGGCUCAACAAAAAUGAGGGGAAAAAA
rnacentral:lncRNA from 1 species